UGUUUGCUUGUUGACGUCCGUCUCCUAACCUCUAACUCUGCUCUUGUUCUCCAGGACCUAGGGGGUUCAACCCAACACCCAGAUCCAUCCGAUGUCCUCCGUUACCUGUUCUCCAGGACCUAGGGGCUCUGCCCAACACCCACCUGAUGUCCUCCGUUACCUGUUCUCCAGGACCUAGUGGUUCUACCCAACACCCACCUGAUGUCCUCCGUUACCAGGAAAUCUCGUCUGGAGUGUCCAGCUUGAUUCUCUUUGCCCCUGGGGCAUGGUUCUAUAGGAGACGGUACAGGAGGAGGUUACACACACAGUUCUAUAGGAGAUGGUACAGGAGGUUACACACACGGUUCUAUAGGAGACGGUACAGGAGGUUACACACACGGUUCUAUAGGAGACGGUACAGGAGGAGGUUACACACACGGUUCUAUAGGAGACGGUACAGGAGGAGGUUACACACACGGUUCUAUAGGAGACGGUACAGGAGGAGGUUACACACACGGUUCUAUAGGAGACGGUACAGGAGGAGGUUACACACACGGUUCUAUAGGAGACGGUACAGGAGGAGGUUACACACACGGUUCUAUAGGAGACGGUACAGGAGGAGGUUACA
rnacentral:lncRNA from 13 species